UCCGAAUUGGUGUAGUGGCUAACAUUUGGUGCUCUCAUGGCGCACGAAUUCUGGCAUUCUGAUGGAAUAUUAGAUUCUGCACUGAUCCGCCAAGCCCGGGGUUCGAUUCCCCGAUUCGGAG